GACGAACGCUGGCGGCGUGCUUAAUACAUGCAAGUCAACUGAAGCUAAGGUAGUAAUACUUUAGUGGAGGUGGCGCACGGGUGAGUAACACGUAGGUAAUCUGCCUUUAGGUCUGACAUAACCACGAGAAAUCGUGGCUAAAUUCAGAUGAUGCAGCGGCUCGACAUCGAGACAGUUGUUAAAUCUUCGGAGCCUAAAGAUGAGCCUGCGUCUGAUUAGGUAGUUGGCGGAGUAAAAGCCCACCAAGCCUGCGAUCAGUAGCUGGUCUGAGAGGAUGAUCAGCCACACUGGAACUGAGACACGGUCCAGACUCCUACGGGAGGCAGCAGUAAGGAAUAUUGCUCAAUGGCCGAAAGGCUGAAGCAGCAACGCCGCGUGGAGGAUGAAAUACUUUUGUAUGUAAACUCCUGUAAGAGGGGAAAAAUAUGCAAUUAUUUUGCGUUGAUUGUACCCUCAG
rnacentral:rRNA from 1 species